rnacentral:rRNA from 1 species
GACGAACGCUGGCGGCGUGCUUAACACAUGCAAGUCGAACGGAAAGGCCCUGCUUUCGUGGGGUGCUCGAGUGGCGAACGGGUGAGUAACACGUGAGUAACCUGCCCUUGACUUUGGGAUAACUUCAGGAAACUGGGGCUAAUACCGGAUAGGAGCUCCUGCUGCAUGGUGGGGGUUGGAAAGUUUCGGCGGUUGGGGAUGGACUCGCGGCUUAUCAGCUUGUUGGUGGGGUAGUGGCUUACCAAGGCUUUGACGGGUAGCCGGCCUGAGAGGGUGACCGGCCACAUUGGGACUGAGAGACGGCCCAGACUCCUACGGGAGGCAGCAGUGGGGAAUAUUGCACAAUGGGCGGAAGCCUGAUGCAGCAACGCCGCGGGCGGGAUGACGGCCUUCGGGUUGUAAACCGCUUUCGCCUGUGACGAAGCGUGAGUGACGGUAAUGGGUAAAGAAGCACCGGCUAACUACGUG